UAUAGGUCAAGUGUGAGUACAGUAACAGGGAAUCAGGGGUGGUCUGCUCAGGAGCUCGGGGUCACUAUAGG